GCCCACCUCCACCCCGGGCCGCUAGCCGCUGGACCGGAGAGCUAGUUGGGGUGGCAGGUCGGGGGAGUUCAGGGCGCCCCAGGGGACCGUCCAGGGGCGGCUCGGGCCAACAGAAGACACCCCACCUGUGCAAAGGCUGGAAAGGAAGGGAUAAAGGCCCAACAGUGCCGUUCCUGGGUUGUAUGGAAUCCUGAAUUCAUGUAUUCAAAUGAAGCCUGGGUUUCUGAAUGACUAAAUGAAUGCAGCCUGC